UAGAAUGGAGGAUAACUGGCUUGGCAGCAGCACUGCUGAGAAGGCCUGAGAGUUGUGGUGGAUUACAACCCCAGCGUGAGUCAGCAAUGCGAUGCUGUUGCAAAAAAAGCAAAUGCAAUUUUAGGUGGCAUUAACAGAGGAAAGUCACAGGAGGUGAUAGUACCACUCUACUCAGCUCAGGCUGGGCCUCAGCUGGAAUACUGUGUCCAAUUUUGGUCAUCAAUGUAUAGAAAAGAUGUAGAGAAACUAGAAAGGAUCCAGAGACAAGUGACAAAGAUUAUCAAAGGGAUGCCCAGUAAUGGAUAACUGGGGGGAUCUCUCCCCUUCUUCCUAUGGCUCAGUAAACCUUUGAAAUGUGUUCUUUGAAAACUAAGCCCAGACAAAGUUUCUUCACCCUGCUGCUGGGGUGUAACAUCAUUUUGUCUUUUCUCCUGCUUGAUAGCUUUGUUUACCUUAUAUGUAAAUUUGCCUUCAUUGUUGCUGCCUGAUGUCCAGGCUGGUCAGAAAAGCAAAUACGCAUUCCUUCAUCUAGGGCAGACUGGGCUUAUUCAUUGCUUGCCAAACACAUUUUAAGAACAUAAUCCUAGCACUUACUUGUAAUUCUUUGUACACACUCAAUUUGUACAAAACAAAGAUUUCCAGGACCAGAGUGUUAUCAGUUUGCAUAUAAUAUCUCACAUGACGCCAUUUUAGUUACAGACUAUGAAACCAGUGUGUUAGCUGUUGUGAGUAUGCCAGGCCUGACAAGAGUUGCUGACAGAGUAGUGAACCACCUAGGGCCUCUAUGUCACAUUGUGACAACACUUCUUGGUGUUUGGUGCCCAGCCCCAUGAUUGGUGAAUGCAAAGCAAAUGUUUGUGCUCAAAUUCAAGUUUUUCCAUGGGCAAUUUUUUUUGGGUGCCCCUGGGUAUGAAUGAGGGAAAUACCGCAGUACGUGGCUCGCUGGUUUUGUAGGUUUUGCAUGCAUUCAAAGAGAAUUGUAUAACAAAGACUGGCCAGAGGAGGGCAACAAAACCUCAAACAACCGGCAUUCUACAAGGGAAAGUUCCUUCAAAACUCAAAAGGUUUCAUAAAAGAUAAAUAAUUCCUCAACAAAAGGAACUUCUAGUAUUUACAAGUCUAAAUCAAUAGCAAAUGCCCCAAACUCCUUGUUGGAGAUGAAUGAAUGUGAUAGACAUUCAUUUUUAAUUAAAAUGCCAAUUUUAGGAGACAGAAGCAAAAAGGAGAUGGGAGAUAGGAAAGAAUUUUCUAUGCUUUAACAAUCUUAUUGAUUAACAUCUGACAGCCCAUGAGGAUGCUAUUUUCUGAAAAAUUAUAAAUAUCUUGAGAUCAAAAGGAAUAAUUACUCCGAAUACUACUAAUAAAAGUCUCUUACUCCACUGUGUACUGAUAGUGUCAAAGAGAUUAAUUUUUGGAAGAGUCUAAGUAUUGCUCAUAUGUAGUUUUCCACAUCACUCUCAAAAAGUCUCAACUUUGUAGUCCGAAAGGAAGUUCAUUUGAAACUACUUUUUAGGAACUAGAUCAAGGCUGAUUGUAGGGGGCAUUGUGUAGCUGUAUGAUUUUAUCACCAGAAGGAGGAAGGACCAAGUAUAGUUUAGUUCCAACUCACAGGGAUUGCUAAAUUUUCUCUACAUGCUAUGCAUCGGGUCAGGAAGCUUUUAGUGCACACCCUGCCUCCUGACACAUUUGCGCAGGGGCAGAUCAUAAUCCAUCCCAGAGAAUGGCAGCCUCUAGCAGGGUGAAAUUCCCCAGAGCAGAAAGCCCCCACAAAUCCCUACAUACAAUUUAGAGCCCUUUUUAUGGGUUUAAAUGGUGCCUAUGGACUUGCACAAACCUCCUGUACUGGUGUGAAUUAAAAAAAAUAUAGCAAGAUAACACCUUUAUUAUGUUUUAAUGGAUAGGACUUCUCUCUGUGUUUUUUCACUUUUGCAUACAAGAAAUUGAAUAGCUCUUUUCCUUCUAAAUUUAUAAAGAUAUGAUUUGAUCAUUUUUUAUCCAAGCUAAGGCAUUAGAUGUAUUUACAGUGAUUUAGAAGCGGCCUCGAAAAAUAUGUAACACAAAUAAGUUAAAAAAAAAUCUGAAAUGUGGUGAAAAGUGAAUCUAAAAAUCAAUAACUUGGCUGCCCCAUAUCUUAUCCUUAUGGGUUUUCUGAGUCUUUUCUCCUAAAACAAGAAUAAGUGUUCCUGUGAGCAUCACAGAGGCCAUAUAUCUGUGGAAACUUAUUCUGUAUUCCAUUCUCUUGGGCAACAAGGCUCUAAUAAUGCUGCUCUAUCAUGAAUGGGUUCAUCUGUGUGCAGGAGGAGUGCUCUUGAUGCACUUUCCCUCCCAGGAGCACGAGGAUGGCAUUUCUGACAGGUCUCUUUUUGGGAGUGGAGGGGUUCCUUAUAUGCUCUGCCUCCUGGGCAGCUGCAAAUGGAGGUCUCAGAAUCGGGUCAGUACUGAUUUUUUGUGUGUGCUAAAUCAGGAUGAGUCCUGUGUGACAAAAGAUUCUACCCACUCAGAUACCAAGAACUACAUCCUGGCCCUGUGCUCUUCAGUGUCUACGUAAGACUAUUCAGGUAGGUGCUGAAACCCUGCAGAUUCUGCUGCCAAUAACAUGCUGAUGAUACUAAAUUGUGUACUGAUCUUUCCUUUUCAACUGAUGCAACCUUUGUAAAAGUGUCAGUGCCUAGAGGAGACCAGCCCUGAGAUGUUUGCACUUGACCCAGGCAAGACCAAAGUAAUCCUGAUCAGAAGGAAGAAACACACUUGAAGGAUGGGCUGAUCACUGUCUUUCCCCUCCAAAAAAAGUGCUUUCCUCCUCCUCCUCCUCCCCCAUUAUCUGAGUGAUGUGACUCUUCAGGGUUCUCUUGAGCACUGCAUUUAACCUAAAAAUCAAUGGUGGUAAAUAACCUUCCUUUAUCUGUAGUUUGCUAGGAAACUUCAUCCCUUCCUCCCAGAUGAGGAUCUGCACAGCAAUCCAUUCAUUGCCACCCUACUGGAUGACCAUGACUUACUGUAUAUGAGACUGAAGAUGGAAGAUAUUCAAAGGUUCCAGCAAGUGCAGAAGGCCGUAGCUCAUCUGUCAUGAGAAGAGCAGAAGAAUCCAUGAGGCCCACUAGGGAGCUUGCCAUAUAGAGCUUAUGUUCCCAAAGGCUGCAUCAGCCCCCAACUGGGCCAACCAACACCACCCCAUGCAUCUCAUAGAAGCCACAGAAGAACAAUAUAAAGUGCUUUCUCCCACCAUUGGCAAAGCAUUCUUCUUCUCCACACUCCCAGCUUACGCCAGUUUUAGGAUCUCAUGAGUCAAAGCUGGAUUCACUGUAUGGCAGCACACUACCACUAGACUGCUCUUGUACUUUUCAACAGCCACCAAUUUAUGCCUUACUUUCUUUUUCCAUCCAAGAAACAGAAACACACAAAAAUAUAUUAAGCAUGAAACGAGGAGGGAAUAAAAAAGAUUUACUGAUGUCUAUUGUAAGAAUUAGGCUUGGCAAUGUAUUUCUUUAUUUAAGAUAGCAAGGUACCCUACCAAGCUUGGUGCACCAUGGAUGGAAGUGUUCUCAACCUCUGUGGGAGGGAGUGGUUUAUCUUGCUCAACAGAGACACUUCUAGCUUAUGAAGAACAACAUGGUCUGACUCUGAAGGGAAUUCUAUCCAGUUCUUUACUGAAAAGUAUGACUAAUCUAGGGUUGGAGGAUGUGGUUAAGGCAAAUGAAAGAUCAGGAAACUAAGAGGUCUGAACCGAUACUGACUUUGGCUCCGGGAGAGCACCCUGUAACCCCCAUAUUCAUCAUUUGUAUAUAUUUCAUUUAAAGCAUGCCAUGUCAGGUAUCAUGCUGAAACCCACUGUUCCAUCUAAAUAUGUACAUCCUUAAUGCAUAUGACGUUAUUAGAAUUGUGUUGUAUGGUUGUCACUAAAAUAUGCUGUGAGUUUGAGAAGUGCCCAGAUACUAGUUUCCCAAAGACAAUAACCUUGAGGAUAAUCAAUGCUUGGGCGAGUGUCGAACAACCAUCAACAGCCAUUGUCCAGCAAGGAAGUUACAAUUCAAUAACUCACUUGCACUAGGCCACACCAGGGGAAAUGCCCCCCAGACAUUACUUAUGUUCUCCAAGCACCUGGACUAAGAGUAUAAAAUAGAACAAAGCGGACCCAUGCUUUGUCUUUUCUUUUCUUCACCACCUAUGCUGAGAAUGCUGGAGCUGAAGAGACUGGUCCCCAGGCUAAGAGGGAAAAGUCUGCAUAUAAAAGACUGUGACCAACCUGCAAUAUCCAGUGGGGUGAGAAACUGCUUCAUCUAGAUGUUGCCCAGUCUAAUAGGGUUGAAGGUUUAGACUGCGUGCUUAUAUUUUCUUUACUUUUGGUAACCCCUCUGACUUUUGCCUAUCACUUAGAUUUUAAGUAAUUAUAUCUUUUGUAAUCAAUAAACUUAUUUUAAUGUUUCUCCUUA